rnacentral:rRNA from 1 species
AGUUCGGAUUGUAGUCUGCAACCCGACUACAUGAAGCCGGAAUCGCUAGUAAUCGCGGAUCAGAAUGCCGCGGUGAAUACGUUCCCGGGUCUUGUACACACCGCCCGUCACACCAUGGGAGCCGGUAAUGCCCGAAGUCUGUGGCCCAACCGAAAGGAAGGAGCAGCCGAAGGCAGGCCCGGUGACUGGGGUGAAGUCGUAACAAGGUAAC